CACGUAGGGCGCAAGCGUUGUCCGGAAUUAUUGGGCGUAAAGAGCUCGUAGGCGGUCUGUUACGUCUGCUGUGAAAACCCAGGGCUUAACCCUGGGCUUGCAGUGGAUACGGGCAGACUAGAGGCAGGUAGGGGAGAAUGGAAUUCCCGGUGUAGCGGUGAAAUGCGCAGAUAUCGGGAGGAACACCGGUGGCGAAGGCGGUUCUCUGGGCCUGACCUGACGCUGAGGCGCGAAAGCUAGGGGGAGCAAACAGG
rnacentral:rRNA from 1 species